UUGUUUAUUUAAUUCUUUUGUUUUGAAAUAGUUAAAACAAUAAAAACAUAAUUUUUAAAUGACAGAUUUAAUAGACAAAUUUAGAACUGUUUAUUUAAUUCAUGUUUUGAAAUGUAGAUUAAUUAAACAAUAAAAGGUACAGUAAUAAAUCAUUUUCAUUGUUGCUUUUGCAAAUGCUUUUCUUUGCCGUUUUGCCAAAUACUUUUCUUUAUCCAUUUGUCAAUCGGGUUACAAAAUGCAACUUUAUUUACAAUUUAAAAUUAUUUUUUUUACAGUGUGCAUUUGCAUAUUGCUUGAAUCCUCACACAUUGCAUUUGCAUAUAUCAAAAUAAACAAGGUUGCUAAUCUGGAACAUCUGAUCAGAUUUUAAAAAGUUUCAUUUUAAUUCCAAAUGUGUGAGAGCAAUUGCAUGAGUGUUAAUUAAAAAAUGCAUGAACGUUAAUCUCGCAAACACUGUAACUAUCUAUAAAAGUCUGUCGGCGUGUUACAAGAACAGAGAUCAUCUGACCACACACUGAGAGAUAGGCCUCUGUUCUGUUGUUUCUGCUGAGAUGUUGAACACUGAUGAAUGAUCAGCGAGGAGAUCACACUCCGUCGUGAAACUACAAAGAUCUUUAACGCUGGUGGGGGGUUGGUCAGAGUCAGCCACUGUCUGGGAUCUACGGCCAUUUUAAUCCACCUGUCACUCAUCAUUAACCUUUGCAGCUUUAAAUUCAUGACCCUCCGUUCACUUUUUACCGUGUUCUUGUUCAGAGAUGGUAUGAAAGAGGUUUGUCUGAAGCAUUAAGCUAUGAGAAAUUAACCUGUUAUUUGGUCCCUAAUAAUUCAAAUUAACUUGUUCUCUGUUAUUUGUAUCCCUAGAUCCACAGCUUGUUACAUCACAUAACCUGGAUCAAAUUUACAAGAGUCUACAGUACACCAAAUAAAAAUAAAAUAAAGACAUUUCAAAUUCAAUUGUAAAUUCCACAAAUCAAUCAGCAAGUAAAACAUUAAAUUAAACAUGGGAUUUUGAAGAAGAAUGACUGAAACAGUAUUUUCUUAUAAAAUGUGCUCCAUUAAUCUUUGUUAAAUUUACUUUACUCUCUCUCUCUCUCUCUCUCUCUCUCUCUCUCUCUCUCUCGCUCUCUGUGUAUUGAUAAAUACUUAGUCUAUAACAAACUGUAAAUCAAUGUGAACAAUAUUGAAUAAAAUCCCUCCGGGACAGACUCGUGAAGGCAUUCGUUUACAGCCUUGCAAUGUUGCUAAGUAAACAAAACCAGUUGAGUCUUCUCUUUUUCUCUCUUUUUUUUUCACCCCUCCUCAGCUGCCAAAGACAUGCACAGAGAGUCUGUGGAGAAAAACACACACACACACACACACUGAGGGCAGGGUCAGUAUAAUGAGUGUUUGUUGGAACUGAAAGGAACUAUUGGAAACGGUGAGUGUCUAGUCAUGGUGCGGAUGCGACCGAGAAAAUACCAGCACAAGAGCAUAUUUUAAAAGUAUUCCAUAUUUAUAUAUAAGGACCCAAUUAUUUAACUCUUUCAUAUCUGAGUUUUAAGGAAAGUUCUAACGUGAAAGAAAAAACAAACAGUUCUUUGUCUUUUUACCCCGUGACAGAGUUCCGGAGGGAACAUAGGCUUCACGUUUCGGAGCUCGUCUUCAGAGAGAGAGAGGGGUGGAAAACAAGUAAACUCUCCUUUAAUGGGCAUCUGAUGAUGUCAUAUCACUGGCUGGAUCCGUCUGUCUCUGAGUGAGGCAGAAGCUCUGGAGUAAUUGGUUGGCGGUGAGUUGGGGGAAGGGUGUCUCCGCUCUCCUCCGCCUGCAGAUUAACCCCUGUGUCUAACUCAGUUUUGGAUUCUCUGUCUUUUAAUCUCCAAUUUAUAUGCUUAAUUAUUCAGAAGGGGCACAAGUUAGUGCUUCUGUACAGAAUGUUUUGUGCGUUUUGUGACACUGCUGCUGUGACCCAUCCAAUAGUGUGCAACAGUCAGGUUCCAGAAGUUAUAACUUCAUACAUUUUCUCCAUGGGGAGAUCGAUUUUGACAAUGACUUACAAAUAUUUUAAGACAGCGCUAUUGCGAGUUUGUUAAUCAGUUGAAAAUGCUUUUGAUGAAGCCAUCUGUUGAAAUCAUUUUUUAACAGUGGAAUGUUCUGUGAAAACUACAUUACCCACGAUGCUGUCUCCCUACCUUCUCUGAAUAAUUAAAUAUUUGACUAGGCCUAUAUGUGACCAUGGACAACAAAAACCUUAAACCUUAACCUAAAGUCUUAAGGGUAAAUCUUUUUUUAAAUGAAGAUUUACACAUCAUCUGAAAGUUGAAUAAAUAAGCUUUCCAUUGAUGUAUGGGUUUGUAAGGUCAAAAUUUGGCCGGGGUAUAACUCUUUGAAAAUCUGUAAUCUGUGGGUGCAAGCAAAUCAGAAUACUGGGAAACCUGCCUUUAAAGUUGUCCAGAUGAAGUUCAUAGCAAUGCAUAUUACUAAUCGUAAAUUAAGUUAAGAUAUAUUUACAUUAGGAAAUUUACUAAAUAUCUGGAACGUGAUCUUUACUUAAUAUACUAAUGAUUUUUGGCAUAAAAGCAAAUUUUGGUUACUGGUAUAUAAUUUUUUUUUAAACUUCAGUUAUGUCAUUUACAUAAAAUUUAAGUUCCCUCACUAAACAGUGCCAUUGAGUACAAAGUCUUGUACCUUUGUCUUUUUGUAUGAUCUUCAAAUACUUGCUUAAAAUAAAAGUUUGUAGUGUUGUGAUUCACCUUGUAGCUGGUUGGCUUGGCUCAAACGAUUUAACACUUUUUUUUAUAAUCACUGUAUGAAAAAUGAAUGUAAAAAAGCUUGCGUAACAAGUUCUGCUGAAAAAGUGGGUGGGUAAUAAUGCAUUCUGUUUCCGAUCAGGGUUGGAAUUUUCUGAAAAUUCUAAAAAAUGUACCUUAAAAAUUCUGUGUGUAUUUGCUUAGUUUUAUUCUGCUGUCAGCACACAUCGUUCUGUAAUACUCAAAAGUUGUUGCUACUCUAUAAUCAGGAGCGGUAAGAAUACAGGACAACUGUAAGGCAAUAAUUGGGUUCCCAGUGAAUAGCGGAUCCAGAAGUGUCAGCACUUGUCUCAUCCACAGGUGACCAGCUGCCCAGCUUUGUCUGGUCUCACUCCUUAGGGACAGCUGAGGCCAUCAAUCUGUUCCCAAAAACCCUGUACUUCACCCUGACUCCUAUGGUAAGCAUUGAGGGCCAUUAUUGUUCUCGAUGUGGGGCGUCCUCUGCGGUAAAGUCUCUGGCACACUUUUAAAGACAUAGUGGGUAAUAUAUGCAGGCCUGAGCCAGUGGCCCUGGCAAAACCAUUCCCCUCCCCCCCCCGAGGCUUCUUUUCUUGGAAGAGCAGACAAACAUUUGUUUUGUCAACUAAAGACCACAGUGACACAGCAAGAGUCAGCCAAUAUCUUCAACACUAACAGAUAUUCGUGGUUUUGCUGGCAGGAGUUUAGUAGAGAUGUGACAAAGUACCAAAAGGCUGACUAUCUAGAUAUGCUUGAACGGUGUCUAAAAGCAUGUAGGCGACAGCCAAGUUAAUCAGGAAGAGACGAUCUACAGGACAUUCCAGCUUUGUUGUCUCAACACGUGCACUAGGUAAACCAACACUGAUGAAUCAUGCCAAAAAUCAGAAGUAAACACCUAUUAGCAACAUGAACACAGAAGCAAUCAGCAACAUUAACUAUAAAGGUGCUCAAGAGUAGUGAUUUGUACAGCUUAGUCGAACAGUUUAGUUUGUGUAUUGCAACAACAGCAUGCCAUGUGAUUCUCAGCAUGCCAUCAGACCUGCCUAUUUGUUUUGGGCUGGAGAAUAAUAAUGUGCUUUACAGGACCCCGAGGACCGAAGCCCCUUAAAAUGAGGUCUGUGAUCCUGUGUUCGAUUAAUACACUCAGUACACAAAAACUAGCUGUCUCCACCCAAACAUUUUACACCUGUGUUGAUACUGGCAGCACUCCCUUUUCUCUAGAAAUUGAAAGUUUGCUCCUCCUAAACACGUCUGGGCUGUACACCAUACUGAUAAAUACUGCAUUAGUGGAGUUCUGUGUCAUGCAGGCGUGCGCGGUUAAUGAUGACACAGCUGUGACACUUCGGAGAUGGUUUAGAUAGGAGGGGACGUGAUGUUCAGUCAUACCUUAAAAUGACUGUGAUUCACCCUGAGCUUGCCUUCGGCCCCACUCUAACCUUUUUAAUAAACGUUUACAAAUGUAAUCAAAUUACUUAUUCAUUA